GUCCCUGCCCUUUGUACACAC
rnacentral:siRNA from 1 species